AGAGAGUGCAAGAGAACGUGAAACCGACAUAAUGGAAACGGAUGGAGCCGACGUAUCUGGUGCGUAUUCAAUCGCUCGCGACGGCAAUCGUCUGUUCAGCAUUCCGCAAGGUUGUUAAGCGGGCGUUCGUUUGUCGGCGUGGACGAUGCACUUGCGUACGGAGUGCGCCGAGUGGGUUGACGGUGUCGUCGGAGGCGCGUUUAGAGGACUUGGCGUGGCAACACGUCGAGAACCCUGAGCGUGCGGAUGGCGAGUACCGUUGGCUUGUUGCUUGUGGGACGGGUGUAUUCGUGGGCGUUCGUUGCGGUGCGUGAGACUCGUGUACGACACAUGUGUCGUGCGCUUGCUUCAAGUAUCGUGUGCGUUCGUCUGCCCUCGUCCUCGACUCGGUGUAUAGUCGGUCACCCAUUUGACCCGUCUUGAAACACGGACCAAGGAGUUUAAGGUGUACGCGAGUCAUUGAGCUUAUUGUCGAAACUCAACGGCGUAAUGAAAGUGAGACUCUUGGAGUCGACGAUGUGAACGGGGCGCGUUUCGACGUUCUUCGUGCAACAUCGCCCCGUGACUUGGACUUGUCCUGUUGCGGAGGUUGAGCGUACGCAACUAUGCCCGAAC
rnacentral:rRNA from 1 species